rnacentral:rRNA from 1 species
AUGCAGCUGCAUAUCGCAAACGAGGUGGUUCUCCGCCUCGACAUUGCCCAGGAGCAUAGGCGGCUGUCUAGCAGCGAGCUCGACCUCCGGAAGAAGAUCAAGCUUCGCGUCCUCGGCCUGGCCGUGAUCGAGCGCUCCCGGAAGCGCCAGGCCUCGCGCAUCACUUGGCUGCGGGCCGGCGAUGCCCGGACAGCCUUCUUCCAGGCCAAGAUCAACUCCAGGAGGUAGAAAAACUUCAUCCACGCCAUUCACAUGACAGAUUCAAUCGUUACCUCCCAUGACGAUGAGGCCAAGGCUAUCCAAUAUCACUUCAGCUCCUCCCUCGGGGCGGCGCCCGUCAGGAACACCACCAUCAACUGGAGCUCGAUCAACCUGCCCUCUCUGCCGGCAGUCAGUCUAGAUAACCCUUUCUCGGAGGACGAGGUUUGGCAGGCGAUCGGCGCAUCGCCCCAAGAAAAAGCGCCUGAGCUAGAUGGAUUCAACGGAACUUUCUUCCGAACGUGCUGGCCGAUCAUCAAACUCGAUGUCAUGACGGUCUUCCACCAGUUCUAUCACCUCACAGAAGGAGACAUGGCUGCCAUCAAUCGGGCCCUGAUCGUUCUUCUCCCUAAGAAGGACGAAGCACAGCGAUCACGGACUACCGGCCGAUUAGUCUGA